UUUUUGUCUGAGGGAAUCCAAGAUGACAAGGGGCCAUUCACUUUUGUUUUGUAAAGCCAUUAACUCUGUUUUUUGUUCUAAGACUUUCUCAAUAUGUUUGGGCAAAUGCUAAAGGUCUGUUAGGAGAACUGUUUCCCAUUCUGGUAUUUUUUUACAUACCAAGUCCUGCAUUUAAGGCCAAUCAUAAAAAAUGAGAAUAAUGCAGUAGAAACAUCUGCCUGUGGAUCUCCCCCUGGAUAUUAACUGGAGUUAUGGAAAAGGUGAUUCUGAUGAAUUUGCUCUUUCUUUGCUUGUAAGACUGGGUUUAUAUCUAGUCAUUCUUUAUAUAUAAUAUAUUUAAAACAUAACAAGCAUAGUUCUCAGUAAGUGUUGCCCCACAUUUUGUGCUUUUUUAAAAUUCCUGUUCUGUUUGGUGGACCUUAGAAAUAACUUCAUCUUUUUCAAGUAUUUCCAAUAAGAUGUUUUUUUUUUUUUUUUUUUUGGUCAGACUUUAGCACCAAAAAUCAAAUGGACUUACUAAAACAAAUGUAUUAGUGAUUUUAGGUCAAAGAUACUAGAAUACUGAGUUGCAAUACUAUUGAAGUCUUGUAAAUUUGCCUUUUCUUUCAGAGUUUGGGGAAAUUUGUGAUAAUUAUCUGUAAGUCAGUCCAAGGCCAGAUUAUAAAAUCUACCUGCCAGUAUAUUGUUGUAUCGGACUCAUGCACGUGGUUGGAAAUGCAUUCUACUUUGGAGUCAUGCAGAUUUGAAUCUGAAUUCCUUGCCAUGUGGAAAUUGUGUGAUGCUGGGAUCCCGUUGAAGAUGUUGCAUUCUAUUUAACCAUCACAUGUCCUUAGUCUCCUGUGGUACGUAACACUUUCUCAGCUUUUCCUUGUUCUGUAUGAUCUUGAGAAUUUUGAGGAGUAUUGGUCAGGUAUUUUGUAGAACAUCUGUCAGCUGGGUUUGUUUGAUGAUUUUCCUCAUGGUUAUGACUGGAGUAUGGGUUUUUGUGAAGGGUAUCACAGAAGUGAAUGUCCCUCUCAUCACAUAUCAAGGGGAACAUGCUAUCAACAUGAAUUAUCACUGUGAUAUGUACCUUGACUUCUCAGGUAAGCUGGUGUUUGCCAAGUUUCUCCACUGUAAAGUUACUAGUUUUCCUUUUCUACCUCUGUUCUUUGGAAGUGAGUCACUAAGUCAGCCCACACUCAAGGGUGAAGAGAGGUUUGAUGUCUACCCACUGGAGAGAACAGUAUCAAUAUACGUUAUUUGAAAUUUCUCUGGCAACUUACCUGCAUUGCCACAUUUAUUUAUCUGUGUAUGUAUCUAUCUAAUCAUUUAUUUAUAUUAACAUGAUUUUAUGUAUACUCAUUUUAUACUUUGUAUUAUCAUCCAGUACUAAAUUUUUUAUUUUAUUGCUCACUGUGUUUCAGCUUUGGCCUUUGGAGCUUGAAAUGGUUGGUUCAAACUCUUUAAUACAUGGAUUAUUGAGGACUCUUUAGUUACCUGUAAUGAAACCAACUGAGGCUUAAGUCAAAAAGGGGAAAUUUAUGAUAAGGACAUAGAGUAUCUCUAAGAAACUUGAAGUUAGAUUAUAUCUGGGUCUCAAAAGAACUGAAAUGGGUAUUUGGAAGAUGGUCAGGACCCCUACUUCUCUCUUCUUUUUUACUGUCUGUAUCUUAUUCACUUUUUUCUUCCUCUGCCGCCUCAGGCCACUUAGUAGGCUAUACAGGUGUUUGGUUGUGGUGUGACUUAUAAAGUACAAACUUGGCUCAGGGGGUCCAUACGUGGUUCAAUGUCAUAGAGUAAGGAGACGUUUUCCAGAGAAGGGUGGACUGUUUUGAACUUGUCAGAUAUUGCUAAGGAUCUACUGCAGACAUAUGUGGCCUUAAGAAUGCUGCUUUCUUUUCCUCAAAUGUACUUUUAUCUUUGGUCUGCACAGAAAGCUCCAUGUCAAGCAUUAUUUCUAGGGUAUCACUCUGCCCAAUACUUUUCUUAGUUAUACUCUUAUGCGAUCACCUACAUCAUUUAUUAUUAAUAACUAUUACUUAUACAGUAUCUAUUCACAUAUUUUUACCUCAAAAUUGUAAGCCUCUUGAAGUGUUCAUAUAUAGUUCAUCUUAUCUCUAAGACCUAAUAUAGUCUCAUACAUUAUAGGUUUUAAUAAAUACUUUUAAAUGAAUAAAGGAACAAUUAUUAGGAUAUGUAUUAAAUUAUGAUAGGGCUAAAGGGACUGAAAUUACAGUGCAAAGUUAAUGAACUCUAGUUAAAAACACAUUAGUACUUGCUGAUAAAACAGUUAAAGAGAUAAUUUUCUCUCUGACACUCCCCACAAAGAAAGCCUUAGAAAAUAGAAAGCAUAAAAAGAAAACCACAACUCUUCAUUGAUGGGAAGAAUUGGAAAGAUUCAAAGGCAAAUACGCUUUUGAACAAAUUUUUAAGAGAUAACUGGAAGUGAAAUAAAAAAAAACAGUAUUAAUUUUCAAGGCCUAAUUCAAUCAGCAAGAAAGGAUUUCUCAGAUGUAUUUGUAGGAGACAGACGGUAAAGAGAAAAUUGGUUUGCUGAAAAAUGAGAAUGGGGAAUUAGAGACAUAGGCUAAGCAAAGGGAAAUGUGUUCAACAGCUGCAUUUUACUUUGGUUUUUACAGAUCUAAGGGGAGAUAAGGAAUUGCUUAGAAUAGAAACCAUUGCUCUAUUUUAAAGUAGACAAGCCACAGCUGAGGAUGAGUAGAUAACAAAGAGGAGGAGGGCAGUUGAAGGAAACACAAAUUCAAACUCAAUCAACUGUGUCUAGGCUCAUUGAAUUCAUAAUUGAGGCCCUCAGUCACACUUGGUCUUGUCUGGGUUCUGAAUUUUCCAUCACUUAACAAUAAUCCAGUGUGGUCUUAGGAACCCUACUUGGAAUUCUUAACCUGCUUUAACUUACUUAGGACUAGAAUGUUGUACUGGAAAGAGUGAUGAAGUCAGAACUGGAAUUGUAGCCUUGGGUUGGAGAUAUGAUUUGGGAUUACAGUAGCAUGUCAUUUUAAGUUAAAACUUGGACAGUGGAGUAAGUCAACAAAAUCCUAUGCAGUAAAACAAGUAAUAGGCUAAUAAAGAAUUAAGGAAAAUAACUGAAUUUAAGGAAUAGGAAGAGGCAGAAGGGAUCCAAAUAAGAUAAGAGGAAAAUAAGGAAUGUGGUUCACAAAGCAAGAGGGAAGAGAUGGUUGCAGGUAGGAGAACAUGGUCAACAGAAGCAGAUGCUGCAGGGGUUAAAGAAGAUUGGGGUUUAAAAGAGUUCUUUGAAUAUUGCUUUAUCCACUUAGGGGUUGUUAUUUUGGAUUAUCUUUUCAAUAGAUCCAUGACUUUCCUUUGAUUUUCUUUCUUUCUUUUUACUAUUAUUGAAAUAGCCUGCAUUUUCUAAGGCCUAAACAACAAUACUUUUGGUAUGGAGUCACUCCAAUAGCACUAUCUUUUAUUUUUAAAUUUUGCAACAUAUUUUUGCUACUCAGAUUUUCCUAAAUAUUACUACCAACCACAUCUUAAGAAGAUAAGUUGGUGAUAUUUUAUAUUAUCCCUGCUCCAAAAAACAUUGCUGUUGGUGAUAGUUCUUUAGAAUGAUGACUUUUGAACUAGAGAGGCGAUUUGAAUUUUGGAUAGAGAUAAAUUUUGAUUUAAAUCUCAUUUCUCUCAUUUCAAUUUUGUAUGUUCUUGGGCAAGUCAUUUAAUCUAUCUGAGGCUUAUUUUUCUCAUUUUGUACAUCUAUAAUAUGAGUCUAAUAAUAUCUAUCUAUAGAAUGGCUUUGACCAUAUGUGUGAAAAUGAGGGUACUUCUGAAACUAUUAGUUUCUUUGUUGCAGUGUAAGUUUAUAUGUAACUGUAUUUAAUUUAAAUGAGAUGACUUUUGAACAUAUUAAUUUUCUCUAGGUUAAAAAGGUCAGCGGCCCUAGAAGUCAGUGCCUUUCCUUAUGCUUACAUUAGCCCAGAGCAGUUCCUGUACUGAAACAGUUGUUGUGAAUAAAUACCAACUUAAGGUCUCUUUGGGACUACCACGGAAAAAAAAUUGUAUUCCCAAUUACACUUACAUGAAUACCUUAGACUCCCUCAGUUAGUCAGUCUCUUGCUCCAUAGUUACUCUACUAAAAUCACUGAACACCAGAAACUGAAAUGUCUUUGAAUUGUCAUUUCUCCAAGGUUCCAGGAAGUAGUGGAUAGACUGGAUUGUUUAGGCAAAUAAAUAUGAUAUGUCUUCUAUUGCUUCAGGCUUUAUUUUCAACAUCUGUCACUAUCAGAGUAAACCUGUCAAUCAUCUUCAAGGGAAGGAAAGUCAAAAGAGACCUCCUUCAGCAAAGCCUUUACCCUAGUGACAAAUAUCUGGGCCUCAAUCACUGACUUUUUUCUGACUCUACAUUCACACCAGAUACCAGAAUGUCGACUGCAGUUAAUGAUGGAUUUCUUCAUUUAUUUUAUAAUCUCAGAUUUGGUGACCUGCUGCCAGCAGGACUGUACGUUAUUUUAUACUAGUAUCUCUUAUAGAAAACCUUCUCUAACCUAAUUGCCCAACUUUACAUCUCUUCCCUUCAAAAAGCUUGGUUCAGUGCCUCUGAGUCUCCUGUACAUACCCCAGCACAGCACUUAUUGAUCCCAUUGUAUUUCAUACAUUUCCAUGUCUCUCCCCUCUACUAGCCUUGUCAGUCUUCAUGGAAGGUGUUGCCUUUUUGACCUGUGUCUGUAUCCCUAUGUCCAAAGUAACUGGGAUGCAGUAUGCCUAUAUCAAAUAUCAGUUGAAUGAUUUAGCAGAUGGACUGAGUCAUUGUUUGAAUUCUCUUCCUAUGAUAUUUGACAUUUCUGAUUCUACAAAUUCUCAUUUUUGAACUAGACAUCAAAAGGAAUACUUCAUCCCUCUUUCUGUUGGUUCAGUUGUGGCUUCUACUUUAUUUCCAUUUUCAGCAUAUUCUGGGAACAAAUGCUCAUUUUCAUAUUACUCUGAAACCAUUUUAGGAUAUUUGUAUACUAGAAUCA